UACGGGGGGGGCAAGCGUUGUUCGGAAUUACUGGGCGUAAAGGGCUCGUAGGCGGCCAACUAAGUCAUACGUGAAAUCCCUCGGCUUAACUGGGGAACUGCGUCUGAUACUGGAUGGCUUGAGUUUGGGAGAGGGAUGCGGAAUUCCAGGUGUAGCGGUGAAAUGCGUAGAUAUCUGGAGGAACACCGGUGGCGAAGGCGGCAUCCUGGACCAACACUGACACUGAUGAGCGAAAGCCAGGGGAGCAAACGGG
rnacentral:rRNA from 1 species